AGGUGUCGGCUAGAGUGGAUUGAAAGGGAAUCCGGUGAGAAUCCGGGACAGUACCUGCUGCUGUGAGUCCCACGCAACGUUUCCGCACAAUGUCAUUGCCCCUCGCGGGGUGAGAAGGCGCGGACAACGGGGACGAGUCAGAAGACCUGCUUCAA
rnacentral:ncRNA from 1 species